AGAUUGAACGCUGGCGGCAGGCCUAACACAUGCAAGUCGAGCGGUAGAGAGGUGCUUGCAUCUCUUGAGAGCGGCGGACGGGUGAGUAAUGCCUAGGAAUCUGCCUAGUGGUGGGGGAUAACGUUCGGAAACGGACGCUAAUACCGCAUACGUCCUACGGGAGAAAGCGGGGGACCUUCGGGCCUCGCGCCAUUAGAUGAGCCUAGGUCGGAUUAGCUAGUUGGUGAGGUAAUGGCUCACCAAGGCGACGAUCCGUAACUGGUCUGAGAGGAUGAUCAGUCACACUGGAACUGAGACACGGCCCAGACUCCUACGGGAGCAGCAGUGGGGAAUAUUGGACAA
rnacentral:rRNA from 1 species